AGGGAACACAAAAAUGGGAAGGUUGGAAUUUCUUUUGGAACUUUUGAGCCACUGCUACUUUUUGAUGGUUUAUAUACAAUUUUUACUUUAUUAAUAAAAACAUGAAUGAAUUUAAAGGAUUGGUUUCAUAAUAUUGUCAAAUAUGAUUUUUUUUUUCUUUUAAUGUGAGAAUUUACAUUAUACACAUGAUUAUAUUUGGUUACAAAUGCUAAUUGAUUUGCACAGUUUCAUUCUCAAAAGGUUGAUUUGUCUGUUUUACUGACUGUGGAUAUGAUUAUUUGUGUCUUUUGUGAGAAUAUAUCCUUAGACACAAUUUUUUUCAGGCAAUUAUUGCUUUAUAUGGUGCUCAUAUUGUCUUCUUGGUUUUGGAACACCUGUAACAUGAACAGGGUUUAUCAUAAACCUCAGUUGAGGUAGUAAGUUGAUAUGUUAGAAUCACUACAAUUGUUUCUUAUUUGGAGUUUACCCUUCCCAUUAGAAUAGUUAUAAGGUUUUGUAAACUGUGAAGGUCCUUGAUAACUUCUGGAUGUUCCGCACCUAAAGACAACGAUAGCCUUAAUCAAAGGAAAAAUUUAGAGAGAAUUCCUAGGUCUUGCUAGGGUCCACUCCGGUGAUAAAGUCAGAGACGAGAUUUGAUAUAUUAAAAGUAAUCAGACCAGAUUCAAUUAAUUCACAUACCUGGUGAGAGUAUUAUUUAUAUUUGAAACCUCCCAAUCGAGAUUGGAUUUUACGUAAGAAAUGUAGUCCCACUCCUAAUAAAUCUCUUAUUGUUAUAGUGGAAUCACAAUUUUAACUUGGAUCAGAUGUUGCUCACUAUCAUAAGACAACUGCAGCAGACUUCCAAUGGUCAAUGGACUCCUGGCCUACCAUCACGGCUAAAUAAAUAAUAGACUUUUGGUACCGAGUGUCUCUAUUUGGUAACUGAGCAAACGGGGUGGCCUGCUAUCAGUUUUAUUGUCUUUUAUUGGCCAUUCAUUUGGCACUGCUCUCUGUUUGAAAA
rnacentral:misc_RNA from 1 species